AACGAACGCUGGCGGCAGGCCUAACACAUGCAAGUCGAACGAGAAGCCACCUUCGGGUGGUGGAUAGUGGCAGACGGGUGAGUAACGCGUGGGAACGUGCCUUUCGGUUCGGGAUAACCCAGGGAAACUUGGGCUAAUACCGGAUACGCCCUCCGGGGGAAAGAUUCAUUGCCGAAAGAUCGGCCCGCGUCGGAUUAGCUUGUUGGUGGGGUAAUGGCCUACCAAGGCGACGAUCCGUAGCUGGUCUGAGAGGAUGACCAGCCACACUGGGACUGAGACACGGCCCAGACUCCUACGGGAGGCAGCAGUGGGGAGUAUUGGACAAUGGGCGCAAGCCUGAUCCAGCCAUGCCGCGUGGGUGAAGAAGGCCCUAGGGUUGUAAACCCCUUUCAGCGGGGAAGAUAAUGACGGUACCCGCAGAAGAAGCCCCGGCUAACUCCGUGCCAGCCGCCGCAGUAACAC
rnacentral:rRNA from 1 species